rnacentral:lncRNA from 1 species
UUUUGUUUCAAGGAAACCUCAGAGUAUUUUGCUUCUCUUCCUUCUUCUCUGUCUGGUCUCCCUCUUUUAUAACCUGAUUUUCAUGGCUUUGUGGGCUCAAAUGAGAGAGGUCCAAGUCCAAGUUUUUUCUAUUAUAUUUUUUUUUAUUUAUUUUAUUUAUUUUUUAUUUUUUAUUUUUUAUUUUUCGUUUUAUUUUUUGUUUUUUUUUAUUUUUCGUUUUAUUUUUUG